rnacentral:lncRNA from 1 species
CAAUUGCAAAAUUAACAUGUAUCAACAAUCAAUUGUAUAAAUCUUAAAUGUGCAAAACAAUGUUUAUGCUCUGAAAAUAAAUGUAUAAUUUUCACUAUGACUUAGACCUUUGUCAACAAGAGUGCACACGCUGAAAUGUCUCGCCUUCUAUACUAAUCAUUGAUAUUAUGUUGAUAGUCUUAAGUAUAAAGCUAAGCUUUAUUACAACUGUCACAUAAACUUUACAUUAACCAAGAUAACUAAACAAAGACCAAUGAACCUUGAAAAAGAGGUCCAGGUCAGAUGAACCAUGCCAGGCAGACAGGUACAGCUAACAAUGCUUCGAUACAAC